UUCAACUUUAAGAACAUUGUUUCCACUGAUGGAAGACAAAAAGAGUCUUGCAUCGUCAGAGGAACGAGCACAGAUUAAAGGAAAGGCUUCCUUGUUAGCUGCAGUUGAUUACUAUGUUGGUUUACACAGCGACAUCUUCAUCUCUGCUUCUCCAGGAAAUAUGCACAACGCAUUGGUGAGUAUUUCUGGCUUAUUUUCAUGCAACAUUAACUAUGGUCGAAUCCAACGAGGUGGUAAAAUUUAUAUGAUCAUCAUUGUAAACUUGUUGGAUGUUCUACCCUUAUCCUUGCUGCUUUAGUUCAUUCCUGAAAUUGUGACCCAUCAAAAAAUUUCUUGUUGAGCUUUUUGCACAUUUUUUUUCCAAAGUCAGAGAGUCCAUCUUCAUCUACAACUACGAAUCACAAAUGAAUGAACACAGUUUUGGUACUCAUUAGGGACCAUUACCCAAUAUUGCUCGUAUCAGAUUCUUGGAAAGCAACCUUAUCACAUGGCCAUACCACAUUUGGCUAUGAAUUUGACAAUUACCCAAAAUCUCCAAUUAAAUGUGAAUUUUCAAGGACAUGAAGUACAAAUUGGAAAUCGAUAAAUGAUCUAUUGGUACUCUAGCAUUUUUUUCUUCUCUCUCUAUUGAUAGACUGAAAUGGAUUGCUUAUUAAGCUUGGGUGGCAAUUUAUAAUGGUAUGCAUCAACAGGUGGGACAUCGAACUUAUAAGAACCUGAAGACCAUAAGGCCAAACAUGGCAUUAUUAGGCCAACUGUUCCUGAACAAAAACAUUAGUUGGUCAGAUUUCCAGCAAGCAGUUCUUGAAGGGCAUGAAAACAGACAAGGGGAAAU
rnacentral:lncRNA from 1 species